AACGAACGCUGGCGGCGUGCCUAACACAUGCAAGUCGUGCGAGAAAGUUCCUUCGGGAGCGAGUAAAGCGGCGCACGGGUGAGUAACACGUAGGUAACCUGCCCCCCAGUCUGGAACAACUAGAGGAAACUCUAGCUAAUGCCGGAUGAGACCACGAUCCCCUUCGGGGGUUGCGGCCAAAGAUGGCCUCUACUUGUAAGCUAUCGCUGAGGGAUGGGCCUGCGGGACCAUUAGCUUGUUGGUGAGGUAACGGCUCACCAAGGCUGUGAUGGCUAGCUGGUCUGAGA
rnacentral:rRNA from 1 species